rnacentral:rRNA from 1 species
CGGGAUGCUGCACCAGUGGGGAAUAUUGCACAAUGGGCGCAAGCCUGAUGCAGCCAUGCCGCGUGUAUGAAGAAGGCCUUCGGGUUGUAAAGUACUUUCAGCGGGGAGGAAGGGAGUAAAGUUAAUACCUUUGCUCAUUGACGUUACCCGCAGAAGAAGCACCGGCAACUCCGUGCCAGCAGCCGCGGUAAUACGGAGGGUGCAAGCGUUAAUCGGAAUUACUGGGCGUAAAGCGCACGCAGGCGGUUUGUUAAGUCAGAUGUGAAAUCCCCGGGCUCAACCUGGGAACUGCAUCUGAUACUGGCAAGCUUGAGUCUCGUAGAGGGGGGUAGAAUUCCAGGUGUAGCGGUGAAAUGCGUAGAGAUCUGGAGGAAUACCGGUGGCGAAGGCGGCCCCCUGGACGAAGACUGACGCUCAGGUGCGAAAGCGUGGGGAGCAAACAGGAUUAGAUACCCUUGUAGUC